rnacentral:rRNA from 1 species
GGACCCGCACAAGUAGUGGAGCAUGUGGUUUAAUUCGAAGAUACGCGCAGAACCUUACCAACACUUGACAUGUUCGUCGCGACUUUAAGAGAUUAAAGUUUUCGGUUCGGCCGGACGAAACACAGGUGCUGCAUGGCUGUCGUCAGCUCGUGUCGUGAGAUGUUGGGUUAAGUCCCGCAACGAGCGCAACCCUCACUUUUAGUUGCCAUCAUUAAGUUGGGCACUCUGAAAGAACUGCCAGUGAUAAGCUGGAGGAAGGUGGGGAUGACGUCAAGUCCUCAUGGCCCUUACGUGUUGGGCUACACACGUGCUACAAUGGUAUCUACAACAGGAAGCAAGACGGCGACGUUUAGCAAAUCAGCACGUUGCGGUGAACAUGUAACUUGACCUUGUACAUACCGCCCGUCACUUGCAAAGAAUCAGUUUCGC